GGAUCUUAUUGGACAAAAAUCAUUAUGAUUAAUGAGUUCACUAUAUGCAUAUGGAGCUGCAGUGUAUGUCCCAGAGAUGAAAAAAGUUUUAUUUAAGUCUAAUUUAAUUAGGCAACAAAUCAUAUAUGUGUAGGUUGCAUACAUAUUCAAAUCCCUGGGUGCAUGCUUGCUGAAACCACUUUUGGCAUCUCUGAGUAUCCC